rnacentral:rRNA from 1 species
AGUGAACGCUGGCGGCAGGCCUAACACAUGCGAGUCGAACGGCAGCACAGUAAGAGCUUGCUCUUACGGUUGCGGGGUGCGGGCGGGGUGAGGAUACAUCCGGAACCUAUUUUUCGGGGGGGGUUACGGAAGGGAAAUUAACCUAAUACCGCAUACGGCCUACCGGGUGAAACAAGGGGACUUCCGGCCUUUGCCGGAUUGAUUGGGCGAUGUCGGAUUAGCUAGUUGGGGGGGUAAAGGCCCACCAAGGCGACGAUCCGUAGCUGGGCUGAGAGGAUGAUCAGCCACACUGGAACUGAGACACGGUCCAGACUCCUACGGGAGGCAGCAGUGGGGAAUAUUGGACAAUGGGCGCAAGCCUGACCCAGCCAUACCGCGUGGGUGAAGAAGGCCUUCGGGUUGUAAAGCCCUUUUGUUGGGAAAGAAAAGCAGCAGGUUAAUACCCCGCUGUUCUGACGGUACCCAAAGAAUAAGCACCGGCUAACUUCGUG